ACUUAUUUUUGGCUGAUUCCAUAUUAACCCUUUGAAGCCUGAUAAAAAAGCAACAUAUAUAUGUAUAUUUUAUAUGUAGUUAAAAUAUUUGUGUAUUUUUUCCUUUGAGACUCUGUAAAAUUGAAAGUUACUUGGAUUAUACACAAAAAUAAGUAAAAAUGUAGCUGUAUUAGAAAUGUUCAAUAGUCAAUGAUAACAUAGACCAUUAGGGACCAGUGGUAUCAGCGACAAGUACUCAAGGUUAUCAGGUAUGCAGUAAAUGUCUAAUACCUGGCAUUUGGGGGAAAGCACUGAGGAGGAAUGCUGACAGGAUAAAAAAAACUGCCUCUGUUAUCAUCCAGGUGGCUAUGCUGCCCCCAGGUGGACAAAAAUUAAACAGAAUUCUAUGUCUUGUGUUGUAGGGAGCUGUGGAGUGAGAUCAACUGGUUGCUCGUUGGUUUCGGACAGCAGGUCCAACGAAAAAAUAUAAAGUUAAAACUGAACCUGAACAGGAAAGCAAUGCCACAGAGGCAGAUCAAGAGUCAAGUGUUCCCUCCAUCAGACAAAGAAGGCAGGUUAAAAAACAUUGAGCGCUGAUUAUUGUUGCAUUUCAGUGUGAGCUGAGUGCAGAUGGUGGAUAGAAAGACAAACUGACUGUGUUUACAAUGUUCAACAUGUGCAUUUAUUGUUUAUACAGUUUUUAUCUGUUAGGAUAACUGAAACGUUUUAUGUUAAUGGAAUAAAUAUAUUUUCUUAUUCCUGCUUUUUUUUGUUUUUCUAUGAAAUAAAAAUGUUUAUACUACA